AAACAAAAAUACAAAAAUAACAACCUUACUAAACAAGCCCUAAAAUUUAUAAAAGAAAUAGGGAACAUGUUUUGUAUUGUUGAUGUUUUUCUGUUUUUUAUACUAUCAAUAAUGAAGUACCAUACGAAGACAAACGUAUAAGAAACCUUUUGUAUAGCAAUUUUUGCCAUUCUUUUUAUUUUUAUUUUUAUUUUUUUUGGGAGCAAUAUUUUUUUUCCUCAAAAAAAUUUUAUAGAUUUUACAAAUAAUAUAAAAAAUAGAAUAGUU
rnacentral:lncRNA from 1 species